rnacentral:rRNA from 1 species
UACGGGGGGGGCAAGCGUUGUUCGGAAUUACUGGGCGUAAAGGGCUCGUAGGCGGCCAACUAAGUCAUACGUGAAAUCCCUCGGCUUAACCGGGGAACUGCGUCUGAUACUGGAUGGCUUGAGUUCGGGAGAGGGAUGCGGAAUUCCAGGUGUAGCGGUGAAAUGCGUAGAUAUUAGGAAGAACACCGGUGGCGAAGGCGGCUCUCUGGAACGGUACUGACGCUGAGACGCGAAAGCGUGGGGAGCGAACAGG